UUGCAGUCACAUCACGUUGAAACACCAGUUCUCGUACGAUCACCGAAGUUAAGCAUAUGUCGAUCCUGGCCAGUAGCUAGAUGGGUGACCGCUUUGGAAUACCAAGUGUUGUAAG